rnacentral:rRNA from 1 species
AACAUGAGAGCUUGCUCUUGAUGACGAGUGGCGCACGGGUGCGUAACGCGUAUGCAAUCUACCUAUAACNGAGGGAUAGCCCAGAGAAAUUUGGAUUAAUACCUCAUAAUAAUAUUUUUUGGCAUCAUUAAAUAUUUAAAACUCCGGUGGUUAUAGAUGAGCAUGCGUUCUAUUAGUUUGUUGGUGAGGUAAGAGCUCACCAAGACUACGAUAGAUAGGGGGCCUGAAAGGGUGAUCCCCCACACUGGUACUGAGACACGGACCAGACUCCUACGGGAGGCAGCAGUGAGGAAUAUUGCACAAUGGAGGAAACUCUGAUGCAGCCAUGCCGCGUGCAGGAUGACGGCCCUAUGGGUUGUAAACUGCUUUUUUACAAGAAGAAACAUUGGUACGUGUACCAAUUUGACGGUAUUGUAAGAAUAAGCACCGGCU